CAACGAGCGAACCAAGAGGUGCGAAGGAACAGACGGCCGUGGCGUGGUUAGGGUUGGAGGUGGAUAUGGGGGCGAAAGAGGAGAGAGGAAGGACAGGUGAAGAGGAGGCGGAGGCGGAGGCUGUGGUGGCGGGAGAAGGGGAAGUGGAGGAGGAGGAGAUGGUCUUGCCGAACAUGUCGGUUAGGGUGCUGCUUGUGGAGGGGGAUGAUUCCACCCGGCAGAUCAUUGCCGCGCUCCUCAGGAAGUGUGGCUACAGAGUUGCUGCAUCAUCAUCAGAUGGCUUGAAGGCAUGGGAAACACUCAGGGAGAAACCCCAGAGUAUAGACCUUGUUUUGACUGAAGUUGACUUGCCAUCAGUCUCUGGAUAUGGCCUUCUCAGCAUGAUAAUGGAUCAUGAGACAUGCAGGAAUAUUCCAGUCAUAAUGAUGUCUUCACAUGAUUCCGUCAGCAUAGUUUUCAAGUGCAUGUUGAAAGGUGCAGCCGACUUUCUCAUUAAACCAAUCCGCAAGAAUGAGCUUAGGAAUUUGUGGCAGCAUGUUUGGAGAAGGCAAAUUGCAAGUGGACAGAGUGGUGUGCAUGAGAUUCAAGAUAAAUGUGAUGCAAAGCAUAAACUGAAAGCUCAUUCCAGAAAAGGAGGACAUUCAACCGAUUACACAUAUAAGGAAUGCAGUGAUGCUCAAAGCUCUUGUGCAAGGUCAGAUGUGGCAACUGACAUUAAACACAACCACUUGGAGCUCAAGCAGCGAAAAGCAGUGGAAGCAUCUGUAACUCUGAAUGAUGGAGAGAAUAUUCAAUUCUACAAUGCACCAUUCUGUAAUGAAAAUGCAGCUAAUGCAGCUAGUAAAAAUGUGGAUGUGAUACAAAAAGAAUGCAUGGACUCCAACACUAUCACCAAUGAGAAAGAUGGCCAGAAAUGUUAUCAUGACAUAACUUCUAUAAUCCGAGUGAUUGAUAAUCAAUCAAAGGGUACUCUUCAAUCUAGAGGCAGAAACACUGUUCAAAGUGGGUCUUCAGACAUGGCAAUUCAUGAUAUUGAUGUUAUUCAUAAGUCUUGCCCCACACCUCAGUUGGAGCUCUCUCUAAAAAGAUGCGAGAGAAUACUUCCUGAGAAGCAUGACUGUGAUGAGAUCAAUGUGUGGAACCAUUCAAAUUCAUCAGCCUUCUCACUGUACAAUUCCAGAACAGUAAUGCCUACCUCGCUGAAUUCAGGAUCUAAAGGCAAUGACCCGAAUUGUACUGAACAUUCAAAAUAUCAAGGUUCUACUAUAAAUAUGGAAGAGACGACGUUCGAGGUUGUAGAACAUUCAGUUCAAUGCAAUCCCCUUCAAGUUAUUCCAUUCACUCUUCCAGUUGGAAACAUGCCCUUGUGUUCCGAGUAUGAUACAGCAAUGCAACACAUGAUUUAUACAGAGUCAGAUCAUCAAUUUUGGAGUACAAGUCCAUCUGUUUGGCUAAAAACUACCACAGAGACAAACUCAUCACACCAACCUACCCAAGAAGACCAGGACUCUGUGGAAGGUGGCAUUCCAGAUGGCAAGAACACUAGAAGUUCAUCUUAUCAUUAUGUGCAAGAGCAGGAAGAACAUAUGGAAGUCGAUAAACAGAGGCACAUUUUAUCAGCAGCUGGUGAAAGUGGUAGUAGUAGCAUAUGUAAUGGUGGAAGAAGUGAACCUAAUAGCAGUGCUAGUGGGGGUGUUCUCAGUGGAACUACCGGACACACGUUUGCAACAAAUAUUUUCAGGCCCAUCACAGUGACGGUAAAUGAUGAGGUCAAAUUGGCUCGUGAAGGAACCAAGGUAACAGAUGGUAGCAUGAGCCAAAGAGAAAUGGCUCUAAACAAAUUUCGAUUGAAGAGGAAAGAAAGAUGUUUUGAAAAGAAGGUUCGGUAUCACGCCAGAAAAUUACUUGCAGAGCAGCGUCCUCGAGUGAAAGGACAAUUUGUUCGUCAAGCGAAACUCAAUCCUCAGCCAACAUUUGCAGGUGCCUUUCAGAGUGAUUCAGCUGCUUGGUAACUUCGGCAUCCGAAGACAUCUUAUCAUGCAAGUCAAAUGAAUGGGUGUGCUUUGUGAAAUAGAAAUUCAAUAUGAAUUGAGGUGGAAUACUCGUCAACAAAAUUCUCAAGAAACAUGUGCUGAUUUGAGGCACACCAAAAGUUAACGAGCGCCUUGGUCUCUUGUUGGGAGUCGGAAUAGAGGAGCUCUGAGGCACCACGAGCGCCUGCUCGGUCCGCUCUCGGAAGUUGAUUCCUACCUUGUUGCCUCCGAGCCGGUGCUGGUCGUGGGCGGCGCCGCCGGCGGGAGGACCUGGUGGAGGAAGCUGAGGUACGUGUGGCGCGCAGAUGGUUUCCAGCCCGCCGCCGCUGUCCAGAUCAGCGUCCAGGGAAGGCAGCGACUCAUCCACCUGCACACCAUAUAUUAGCUCUCGUGAUGAUUCGAUCUUGGAGCCUUUUCUGGAUGUAUUUGUAGCCGUGGACCUUGGAGAAGCCAUCCAUGGCGACGUUGGCGGCCGCAUCAUCAUCCAGUAGGUCCUCAACGUGCCAGCCUGGGCACAUCUUGAUGAGAUACUCCGAGAUGCUACUGGCGCCGAAGUUGGCUGUGGCCGAGGUCGUAGAGGCGGCGGGGACUAUGGCAGUGGCGGAGAAGCUAUACGCCGCCGUCACUGGCUCGGGUGCCGAGAUGGGAGCGGCGGAGAAGCGGACGCCGGUGAGGAGGAACCUGCUAUGCUUCAUGGUGAGGUGGUUGGCGCUGUGUAUGGAGGCAUCGCAGGCUCCACAGAGGAUCGCUCUGUCCUCUCGGCAGAACAGGACUGCUCUCUUCUCCUACAAAUCAUACCACCGUAACUCAACUCUUUCCCCGUAAAGAUUCGAACUUUGGCCGCGAAACGACGCCAUGGAAUGGAUCUUACAGCAAAGCGUUCAAAAAAUCUAUGGAGCCUCUUGAAUCGGUUCUGAUACUCGAACUACCUGACAGACGUCGCAGAGGGGAUUGGAGCGGACGGAGGGGGAGUCGAGGGAGAAGCGGCGGUGCUUGCCGGCGAGGAUGUUGGCGCAGUGCACCCGGCGGUCGCAGGCGUCACAGAGGGCGGCAUCGUCCGCGCAGCAGAACACCAAAGCCUCCUCUUUGCCGCAAACAUCACACUGUAUCUUCAUCUCUUGCUGUCACACAGAAAUCUCUCCUUCAAAUCUGAGUUAAUGGAGUUGUAGAAGAAGAGCGGAGGAGGCACGCACAGAAGAGAGAGAGAGAGAGAGAAGAGAGAGAGAGAGACAGAGAGAGGGUGUGUUCUUGGAAUGCUUGUGGACUGACAUGGCGGAUUACAAUGAAUUGGCCAAAUCAUGGGGAAGAACAGUAGUAAAGAAAGAUCCCUUGUUGGCGUUCA